AGAUUUUUUAGAAAGGUAAAAUUAUAUUUUAUGUAUCGAACCACGAGCCCUUAACCAGCGAUAGAUACGAUCCUAGCUGCACCCAAGCGUCCAAUUUACUCUAUCUCUGCUCUGUGGUAUUUAUUCUGAGCAUGCUCUCUGUUCCAAAUUGUAGUUAGAAUUCCAAAGAGGGAUCGAUGUACCAUGCAUCUAAUGACAAGAAAAGGCAUC
rnacentral:lncRNA from 1 species